AUGGCAGAAAUGAACAUUGAUCUGGGAGGAUUGGCAGGCAGGCCUACUACUUCACAGGCGGAUCCUUUUCAAAGUGCUUUGUAUGGAGCUGGACCUGGACUCAUCCGAAGUGGACUAGGAGCGUACAGUGAGAAGUUUUUAGGUUCAAGCUCUGACUUUAUGCAAAGCAAUAUCACUCAAUAUUUGUCCAAUCCACAAUAUUACUUUCAAGUGAACAAUCAGUAUGUGAGGAACAAGCUGAAGGUUGUCUUGUUUCCUUUUCUGCAUCGGGGACACUGGACUAGGAUAACUGAGCCAGUGGGAGGAAGGCUGUCGUACAAACCUCCAGUUCAAGACAUCAAUGCUCCAGAUCUGUACAUCCCUCUCAUGGCUUUUGCCACCUACAUUGUAGUUGCUGGAUAUGCCUUGGGUGUUCUUGGAAGGUUUACCCCGGUGGCACUGACUAUACAGUUCACAAAAGGGUUACUCGGUUGGUUUAUGCAAGUCAUCCUCAUUAAAGCUCUACUUUACUCACUUGGAAGUGGUGAAUCGCCGUUGCUUGACAUUGUGGCAUAUGCUGGCUAUGGGUUUGCCGGUACCUCACUUGCGAUGCUUGUCCGCAUCUUCUGGAGCUACUCAUACUAUUUUGUGCUGCCGUGGUUCUGUAUCUGCACUGGAGUGUUCCUGGUUAAGACGAUGAAGAGGGUUCUGCAGGGUGUAUCGAGGACUUAUGAGAGGCAUCCUAGCAGGAACCACUACUUUCUUCUAUUCCUCGUGGCUGCGCAGUUCCCCAUGCUUUUUUGGCUAGGCAACAUCAAGGGCUGA
rnacentral:rRNA from 1 species